UGCUCCAGAGAGGUGAGAGAGGUGGGGGAAGAAGACGAUCUUCGAUCCAGACUUGUGCUUCUCUUUCGCCAUCGUCUUCUUCCUCGAUCCCGGUUAAAUUCGCAUUCUCAACUCCGUUUUGGUUUUAGAUCUCUCGUCGGAUCAUUUGUUUUCACGUCGUCGACCGACAACAUUUAAGAGCAAUUUUUCCGAUCCAGCAGAAAUGUCGAUAAAUAUGAAAACGUUUACUCAAGCUCUAGCUAGAACGGCUGCUGUGAUUGAGAAGACGGUUCAUACCACAGUUCAGGAAGUUACGGGACCUAAGGCUCUUCAGGACUACGAGCUUCUCGAUCAGAUCGGUUCCGCUGGCCCUGGUCUCGCUUGGAAGCUAUACGCAGCUAAGGCGCGUGAUUCCACGCGCUCACAGCAGUAUCCGACGGUCUGUGUCUGGAUGCUUGAUAAGCGCGCUUUGUCGGAGGCUCGUGUACGAGCGGGGUUGUCUAAGGCAGCGGAAGAUGCGUUCCUUGAUUUGAUUCGAGCUGAUGCGGGGAAGCUGGUGCGGUUGAGGCAUCCUGGUGUGGUUCAUGUGGUGCAAGCACUUGAUGAGAAUAAGAAUGCUAUGGCUUUAGUUACGGAACCGCUCUUUGCCUCUGUGGCUAAUGCGCUUGGGAAUGUGGAGAAUGUGGCUAAUGUGCCGAAAGAUCUUAAGUCAAUGGAGAUGAGCUUGUUGGAGGUGAAGCACGGUCUGCUCCAGAUUUCCGAGACUUUGAAUUUUUUACACAAUAACGCAAAUCUCAUCCAUCGAGCCAUAUCUCCAGAGAAUGUUCUAAUCACUUCAGCUGGUUCUUGGAAACUCGCCGGGUUUGGUUUUGCUAUUUCGGCUUCACAGGCUGGGAAUUUGGAUCACAUGCAAUCAUUCCACUACUCUGAAUAUGACGUCGAGGAUUCAAUACUGCCAGUCCAGCCAUCCCUAAAUUACACCGCACCUGAACUGAUGCGCAGCAAAAGUCCAUCAGCUGGAGCUUCGUCAGACAUUUUUAGUUUUGGAUGCCUUGCCUAUCAUCUAGUUGCUCGGAAACCGUUGUUAGACUGCAAUAACAAUGUCAAGAUGUACAUGAACACGUUGAACUAUAUAACAAAUGAAUCUUUCUCUUCGAUACCCUCGGACUUGGUAUCUGAUUUGCAAAGGAUGCUAUCAACCAAUGAGUCCUUUAGACCAACAGCAUUAGAUUUCACAGGAUCAAAUUUUUUCCGAAGUGAUGCUAGGUUACGUGCUCUCCGUUUCCUUGAUCAUAUGCUUGAAAGAGAUAACAUGCAGAAGUCCGAGUUCUUAAAAGCAUUAUCAGAUAUGUGGAAAGAUUUUGAUUCCCGUGUAUUACGGUAUAAGGUGCUUCCACCUCUUUGUGCUGAACUUAGGAAUUUGGUUUUGCAACCAAUUAUUUUGCCAAUGGUUCUAACUAUAGCACAGUCUCAGGAUAGGAGUGACUUUGAGCUGAUAACACUUCCAGCUCUUGUUCCUGUUCUGAGUACUGCUUCAGGAGAUACAUUACUGCUGCUUGUAAAGCAUGCAGAGCUUAUUACUAACAAGACUGAUAGCGAGCAUCUUGUAUCACAUGUCCUCCCUUUGCUUCUGCGAGCCUACAAUGAUAACGAUGUCCGCAUUCAGGAGGAAGUUCUUAAAAGAUCUACAUCUGUCGCUAAGCAACUUGAUGGUCAGGUCGUGAGGCAAGCAAUUUUGCCUCGUGUUCAUGGCUUGGCUCUCAAAACUACAGUUGCUGCGGUCAGAGUAAAUGCUUUGCUCUGCUUAGCAGAGUUGGUGCAAACACUUGAUAAGCCUGCCGUUAUCGAAAUUCUGCAAACAAUUCAACGGUGCACUGCCGUUGAUCGUUCUGCACCUACCCUUAUGUGUACCCUUGCUGUAGCAAACGCAAUCUUAAAACAGUAUGGAGUUGAAUUCACAGCAGAACAUGUGUUGACCCUGAUGAUGCCGCUUCUCACUGCCCAACAACUGAAUGUCCAGCAGUUUGCCAAAUAUAUGCUAUUUGUCAAGGAUAUUCUCAGGAAAAUAGAGGAAAAAAGAGGAGUUACAGUAAAUGAUUCUGGAAUCCCAGAGGUGAAACCCCAUUCUGUUGCCAAUGGAAUCCAGUUGCAAUCAUCCACUCAACCACCUGAGAAGGUUGCUUCUGCAGCCAAGAGUAGUCCUGCAUGGGAUGAGGAUUGGGGUUCUCCGAGCAAAAAUUCUGCUACAGGAAACUCUGCUACAGGAAACUCUGCUUCUUCUCUUCAUAACACAAACCAUCAGUUUAACAAAUCCACAGAUCAGUCAAAGCCAUCGAUCAUGUCUACUCUUCCUAACCAGGAAACAACACCAACCGCAUGCCCUGCAGUGGACAUCGAGUGGCCUCCAAGACAAUCUUCAAGUCAUACCGCUCCAGCAACUGAUGUUAAAGCACAACUAAACACAGGACCAUCAUUUACUCCGAGUUUCGAUGAAUUAGACCCAUUUGCUAAUUGGCCUCCACGUCCCAACAAUGGUACUUCUGUUGCUUCUAACGUUCUCAACAAUGGCACUGCAUCCAAUUUUAGCAACAAAUUACCAAGCGGCACCCAUUUUCAGACCGCUAACGAUGACAACUGGGCAUUCAGCAAUGCCUCCUUGUCUUCGCUAAAACCACCCCAGCAAGGGAAUCUAGGUAUCUCUGCAAAUAAUCAAGACCCAAUCAACUCUUUCGGUGUACCAAAACAGAGCCAAGGAAUGUCAUCUUUCGCUAGUGGUUCAUACAGUAACCAGAAGCCAGCAGACAUCAGUUCCAUAUUCGGUUCAAGCAAAACCGAGCAGUCCGCAAUGAAACUUGCACCACCACCUUCAGUAGCAAUGGGAAGAGGAAGGGGGAGAGGUAGAGGUGGUACUGGCACAUCUACCUCAAAGCCCAAUGGCUCACAACCAUCUCUGCUGGAUCUAUUAUGACCAAAGUUCUUGGUGUUGGUGUUUGGUCGUGUAGUGAAGAAAAGCAUAUAUAGCAUGGGGAUUGCGCUCUGUGCUUUGUGGUGCAUAGAAAACUUUCCAGAAAAAUGGAGAUGUUAUGUAAACAUCUUCUGGGAUUAGCUUCCACCAUAUAAACUUUACAACAGCUUCAGUUCCUGGAUCGUUUCGUACAUAUGAGGUCUGAGUUAUCUUUUGAAUGUCGGAAAUUCUCCAUUUGUCAUUAGCGUCUGUUGGUAACUUGACGGUGCCACCGAGUGACCGUUCCAAUCCCCUUACAGUUGUUACAUAUGGACUCACUAUUUGUAUAGUUAUGAUCAAGAGAUCUAUAUUUUAUAGCCGCAUACGUGAGAAUUGCUGAACACAACGUAUACAGUUUCAAGCCAAUAUACAUA